rnacentral:rRNA from 1 species
GACGAACGCUGGCGGCGUGCUUAACACAUGCAAGUCGAACGGUAAGGCCCUUCGGGGUACACGAGUGGCGAACGGGUGAGUAACACGUGGGUGAUCUGCCCUGCACUUCGGGAUAAGCCCGGGAAACUGGGUCUAAUACCGGAUAGGACCACUGCCUGCAUGGGUGGUGGUGGAAAGCUUUUGUGGUGUGGGAUGGGCCCGCGGCCUAUCAGCUUGUUGGUGGGGUGAUGGCCUACCAAGGCGACGACGGGUAGCCGGCCUGAGAGGGUGACCGGCCACACUGGGACUGAGAUACGGCCCAGACUCCUACGGGAGGCAGCAGUGGGGAAUAUUGCACAAUGGGCGCAAGCCUGAUGCAGCGACGCCGCGUGAGGGAUGACGGCCUUCGGGUUGUAAACCUCUUUCAGCACCGACGAAGCGCAAGUGACGGUAGGUGCAGAAGAAGGACCGGCCAACUACGUGCCAGCCGCCGCGGUAA